rnacentral:precursor_RNA from 13 species
CAGAAGAGAACUCAAACUGACCUUGCAGAUUAUUUUUGUCCUCUUGUCCAGGCUUUAACAAUACAUGCUGGACAAGUGGAAAAGAAUGCCAUUUGCAUUGUCUUUGAUUCCUCUUGGCUU